rnacentral:rRNA from 1 species
UACGAAGGGGGCUAGCGUUGCUCGGAAUCACUGGGCGUAAAGCGCACGUAGGCGGAUUUUUAAGUCAGGGGUGAAAUCCUGGAGCUCAACUCCAGAACUGCCUUUGAUACUGGGAAUCUCGAGUCCGGGAGAGGUGAGUGGAACUCCGAGUGUAGAGGUGAAAUUCGUAGAUAUUCGGAAGAACACCGGUGGCGAAGGCGGCAUCCUGGACCGAGAUUGACGCUGAGGCGCGAAAGCCAGGGGAGCAAACGGG